rnacentral:rRNA from 1 species
UACGUAGGGUGCGAGCGUUUGUCCGGAAUUAUUGGGCGUAAAGGGCUCGUAGGCGGUCUGUCGCGUCGGGAGUGAAAACUCGGGGCUUAACUCCGAGCCUGCUUCUGAUACGGGCAGACUAGAGGUAUGCAGGGGAGAAUGAAGAUUCCUGGUGUAGCGGUGAAAUGCGCAGAUAUCAGGAGGAACACCGGUGGCGAAGGCGGUUCUCUGGGCAUGACCUGACGCUGAGGAGCGAAAGUGUGGGGAGCGAACAGG